CGCCAGACUCCUACGGGAGGCAGCAGUGGGGAAUAUUGCACAAUGGGGGAAACCCUGAUGCAGCGACGCCGCGUGAAGGAAGAAGUAUCUCGGUAUGUAAACUUCUAUCAGCAGGGAAGAAAACAGACGGUACCUGACUAAGAAGCCCCGGCUAACUACGUGCCAGCAGCCGCGGUAAUACGUAGGGGGCAAGCGUUAUCCGGAUUUACUGGGUGUAAAGGGGGCGCAGACGGCGAUGCAAGCCAGGAGUGAAAGCCCGGGGCCCAACCCCGGGACUGCUCUUGGAACUGCGUGGCUGGAGUGCAGGAGGGGCAGGCGGAAUUCCUGGUGUAGCGGUGAAAUGCGUAGAUAUUAGGAGGAACACCAGUGGCGAAGGCGACUUUCUGGACUGUACCUGACGCUGAGGCGCGAAAGCGUGGGUAGCGAACGGGAUUAGAUACCCCCGUAUG
rnacentral:rRNA from 1 species